rnacentral:lncRNA from 1 species
GUCUGCAAAAAUCUUGUUGACCGAGACAUAAGCUUGCCACAAAGACCUAUCAAAACGGCCUCCAAGAUCUGGCGAGAGAGGGAGCAUGUAGUGAAAUAAAGGCCAGAGAUGCUGCUUACAGAAACCAUGAUAGAAUUUACUGAAAAGGUUGGGAGGGAUGAAAGCUGGCACACAUUUGAAGGUUUCAAGCAAAGUUUGGGCCACCUCAUCUUCUUCAUUUGGGUCAAUCUCUUCUUUAAGACAACCAACAUAAAUGACUUCUACAUCUUCCCCAAGGCCAUCUUUGAGUUGUAGAAGAAGGGAAUCCUCAUCCCAACUAAAGUUCCAC